AGCAGCCGCGGUAAUUCCAGCUCCAAUAGCGUAUAUUAAAGUUGUUGCAGUUAAAAAGCUCGUAGUUGAAUUUCGGGAUCAAUAUGUUGGUCGUGCCUUGGUACGUACUGGCGUCAUUGGUUUCUACCUUCUGAAGAACCUCGAUGUCAUUAAUUUGGUGUCUUGGGGAAUCAGGACUGUUACUUUGAAAAAAUUAGAGUGUUUAAAGCAGGCUCACGCUUGAAUACAUUAGCAUGGAAUAAUGAAAUAGGACGUUUGAUUCUAUUUUGUUGGUUUCUAGGAUCGACGUAAUGAUUAAUAGGGAUAGUUGGGGGCAUUAGUAUUCAAUUGUCAGGGGUGAAAUUCUUGGAUUUAUUGAAGACUAACUACUGCGAAAGCAUUUGCCAAGGAUGUUUUCAUUAAUCAAGAACGAAAGUUAGGGGAUCGAAGACGAUCAGAUACCGUCGUAGUCUUAACCAUAAACUAUGCCGACUAGGGAUCGGAUGAUGUUAAUUUUUAAUGACUCAUUCGGCGCCUUACG
rnacentral:rRNA from 1 species